rnacentral:ncRNA from 1 species
CUUAUCAAGAGUGGUGGAGGGAUCGGCCCGAUGAAGCCCAGCAACCUGUGCAUAUUUUGCGUAAGGUGCUAAUUCCGGCGGUGAAAUAUCGAAAGAUGAGG